CGUUACCCCCGUAACGGUUUGCCAUCAGGUAAAGCUGGGAACUCUGGGGAGACUGCCGGUGAUAAAACCGGAGGAAAGGCGGGGAUGACGUCAAGUCCUCAUGGCCCUUACAUCCGGGCUACACACGUGCUACAAUGGCAGGUACAGAGGGCUGCGAAGCCGCGAGGUGGAGCGAAUCCCAGAAAACCUGUCUCAGUCCGGAUUGAAGUCUGCAACUCGACUUCAUGAAGGCGGAAUCGCUAGUAACCGCGAAUCAGCAGGUCGCGGUGAAUACGUUCCCGGGCCUU
rnacentral:rRNA from 1 species